CCUCCCCCAAACAAAGGGGGAGCUGGUAGUCAGGACCCCAGCUUGCACAUGUCGGGAGCAGAACAGGUCGGGUGGAGGGAGGGUGGAGGGCAGGGGAGAGGACUCGGUCAGAUCUGGGGUCACUGUAGACCUGGGUCUCCUCUUGCAUAAGGAUGAAGCUUGCAGCUGGGCCCCCAGUGACACCUGACCUCUGCCCACUGAAUCAGGACAGGGCUGGGGACCAAGUGAUGGAGUGUGCACGUUAAGGUUGGGUCACGGCAGCUGUGCGGUUGCAGUGUGGUUGCUCCACAGGAGGCUAGUCACCGGGUCUGCCCUGUGGAGAUGUCCUUGUGGGGGCACAAUGGGACUUGCAGGGACCCAUGUGGCAGCAUGUCUUCAGCCUGUCCAGCUGUUGGGGACCUGCAGCCUGGCUAGCUUCUGAUGGCCACUUCCAGAGAGACCCUGAGCCGGAAUCCUCAAGCAUGCAGCCAGCUGCCUCCAAGCUCCUCACCUCCCCAAACCGCAUGGAGAGCAGACUGCGCUUGCUGUUCGCACCGCGGAGCUCGGGCCACCUGGUGAAUGGCGUUUCAGAAGCACGUGCUCAUCUCAGGUGCGGCAGCUGCAGGGUCUGCAAGGUCCGAAUGCUCACCAGUCUGUGCACAGCAUACACAGCAGCCCCAGGAGACCCAAAGGAGACGUGCAGAGGAGCCGGGGCAGCUCAGUCUUCCGCUCCCAUGUCACAUGCUCAGGACAGCGUGUGGGCACAGCCUGGGAGCAGACCACAGGGUGCUCAGGAGCCCUUCUGCAGUCCCACCAGAGAAGGGCCUCGGUCCCAGCAAGGGCCAGCAGUGUUCUGGGAAGCCGCCUCUGCUCAGCAUGGUCAGCGUCCUGCGUGCCAUCUAGAGCACCGGGUGGAAGAAGAUGUGCGUCAGGGACACCACAAGCGCUGGUCAGGCCCUCGGGACAGGAAC
rnacentral:lncRNA from 1 species